CUGACGCAGCAACGCCGCGUGAGUGAAGAAGGCUUUCGGGUCGUAAAGCUCUGUCAAGUGGGAAGAACCCUUCUGAGGUCAAUAGCCUUGGGAGCUGACGGUACCACUGAAGGAAGCACCGGCUAACUCCGUGCCAGCAGGCCGCGGUAAUACGGAGGGUGCAAGCGUUAUUCGGAAUUACUGGGCGUAAAGGGCGCGCAGGCGGCCUGUUAAGUCAGUUGUGAAAGCCCGGGGCUCACCCCGGAAGUGCGACUGAAACUGGCAGGCUUGAGUAUGGAGAGGGAAGUGGAAUUCCUGGUGUAGCGGUGAAAUGCGUAGAUAUCAGGAGGAACACCGGUGGCGAAGGCGACUUCCUGGACCAAUACUGACGCUGAGGCGCGAAGGCGUGGGGAGCAAACAGGAUUAGAUACCCUGGUAGUCCACGCAGUAAACGGUGAUCACUAGGUGUUGCGGGCUUUGAUGCCUGCAGUGCCGAAGCAAACGCAUUAAGUAUCCGCCUGGGGAGUACGGCCGCAAGGUUAAAACUCAAA
rnacentral:rRNA from 1 species